rnacentral:rRNA from 1 species
UGGGUGAACCACACAGGAUUAGAUACCUUGGUUGUCCUACGCUGUAAAACGAUUUAGACCAGCCGUUGGGUGCCUCGCGCACUUUUGUGGCGAAGUUAACGCGAUAAGUCGACCGCCUGGGGAGUACGGCCGCAAGGUUAAAACUCAAAUGAAUUGACGGGGGCCCGCACAAGCGGUGGAGCAUGUGGUUUAAUUCGAUGCAACGCGAAGAACCUUACCUACUCUUGACAUCCUGCGAAUUUGGUAGAGAUACCUUAGUGCCUUCGGGAACGCAGAGACAGGUGCUGCAUGGCUGUCGUCAGCUCGUGUUGUGAAAUGUUGGGUUAAGUCCCGUAACGAGCGCAACCCUUGUCCUUAUUUGCCAGCGCGUAAUGGCGGGAACUCUAAGGAGACUGCCGGUGACAAACCGGAGGAAGGUGGGGACGACGUCAAGUCAUCAUGGCCCUUACGAGUAGGGCUACACACGUGCUACAAUGGUCGGUACAAAGGGUUGCCAACUCGCGAGAGUGAGCCAAUCCCGAAAAGCCGAUCUCAGUCCGGAUCGGAGUCUGCAACUCGACUCCGUGAAGUCGGAAUCGCUAGUAAUCGUGGAUCAGAAUGCCACGGUGAAUACGUUCCCGGGCCUUGUACACACCGCCCUUCACACCAUGGGAUUGGGUUGCACCAGAAGUGGUUAGCAUUACUCACGAGGUAAGCCAUGCAUGAGUGUUAGGG